UACAGAGGGGGCAAGCGUUAUUCGGAAUUAUUGGGCGUAAAGGGCGCGUAGGCGGCCUUUCAAGUGACGGGUGAAAGCCCUCGGCUUAACCGAGGAACUGCCUGUCAGACUGGAAGGCUUGAGACCGGGAGAGGUGAGUGGAAUUCCCAGUGUAGCGGUGAAAUGCGUAGAUAUUGGGAGGAACACCAGUGGCGAAGGCGGCUCACUGGACCGGUACUGACGCUGAGGUGCGAAAGCGUGGGGAGCAAACAGG
rnacentral:rRNA from 1 species